UGUCGCUUUGGAAACAAGGUUGGCAAGACACAUGCCAUUUCCUCUUCAGAGCUCUUGAUUCCACUAUACAUUGCCAAGAACUACUUUCAGCCCCCUUGACUAUUGUGCAUUGAUGUUACCAGCCUUGGCCAAGAAAACUUCUGGAAUUGAGUCUGCAGUUAGCCAACAUUAGCCAUUCUAGAUAGGCUAUCCUCAUUCUUUUUUAUGUGUUAUUAUUCAAACUCAAAAGACUGCAGAUUUCUUUAUGAGUUUUAAAUCCCCUGUAAGGUACUGUCUGUGGCCUGCAGUCAGGAAGAAUGACAUACAAAAUGUGAAAGUCAUCAGUCUAUUUCCUUCUUUCAGGUACCAAGUGGCAGCAGCUUGGUGGUACGGUAAACACUAAGAGAAGAGCCUAGGAAUGGCAAGAUAUUCACCAAACUCUAAUUUUGUCCAUGAUUAAUUCUAAUGUUUCACACAAAAUUUUGCCACAUACUAACUGUCCAGAGCAUUUAUUUAUUUUUUCAUCUCAAAUGUUAUUCAGUUGAGUUGAAAGAAUUAUAUAUUCAGGAAAAAAUAUGAGAAGUAUAUAAAUAUGAAAUAAUUAAAUAUUUCAGGUUUCCUAGACAACAGAUCCUAGGGCAAAAGUUUCCAUGCUAUCACAUUAUAGGAGUUUAAUCAGAGAAAAGCAAAAGUGAAGGUUAAAUGAAGUGAAGCAGAGAAAUAGAACAAAUAGUGAAGGAGCAUUAGUUCUCAAUAAGCACAAUUGAUGACAGGACAGCCUUAGAAAGCCCAAGUAAAAUUUCUG
rnacentral:lncRNA from 12 species